GAUGAAGAACGCAGCGAAAUGCGAUAAGUAGUGUGAAUUGCAGAAUUCAGUGAAUCAUCGAAUCUUUGAACGCACAUUGCGCCCCUUGUAUUCCAUGGGGCAUGCCUGUUCGAGCGUCAUUUGUACCUUCAAGCUCUGCUUGGUGUUGGGUGAUUGUCUAUCUUUAUAGACUCGCCUUAAAGUCAUUGGCAGCCGGCAUAUUGGCCUGGGAGCGCAGCACAAGUCGCGCUUCUUGUCAUGAAUGUUGGCGUCCAGUAAGUCUACAUAUUUUGCUCUUGACCUCGGAUCAGGUAGGGAUACCCGCUGAACUUAAGCAUAUCAAUAAGCGGAGGA
rnacentral:misc_RNA from 1 species